GAAAGAUGAAAAGAACUUUGAAAAGAGAGUUAAACAGUACGUGAAAUUGUUGAAAGGGAAACGAUUGAAGCCAGUCGUACCUUCGGGUAAUCAGCCUUUCGGGUGCGAUUCUGUGGAGUUUGAGGAGCUUAACACCUUCAUGCUUUGCAUAUUCGUGCUCUUGGGUGUACUUGCUCGUAUGGUUGGUUAACAUCAAUUUUGGUGGUCAUAAAAUGACUGGAGGAAUGUAGCUUCGAUCUCGUAUUGAAGUGUUAUA
rnacentral:rRNA from 1 species